rnacentral:rRNA from 1 species
CAGGACGAACGCUGGCGGCACGCUUAACACAUGCAAGUCGAACGGAGAUAAGGAGCUUGCUUCUUAUCUUAGUGGCGGACGGGUGAGUAACACGUGAGCAACCUACCUUCAAGCGGGGAAUAAUGGAGGGAAACUUCCACUAAUACCCCAUAAGAUAGUAUUUCCGCAUGGAGAAGCUAUCAAAGAUUUAUUGUUUGAAGAUGGGCUCGCGUCCGAUUAGCCAGUUGGUGAGGUAACGGCCCACCAAAGCGACGAUCGGUAGCCGUACUGAGAGGUAGAACGGCCACAUUGGGACUGAGACACGGCCCAGACUCCUACGGGAGGCAGCAGUGGGGAAUAUUGCACAAUGGAGGGAAAAACCUCUGAUGCAGCGAUGCCGCGUGAGGGAAGAAGGUUUUCGGAUUGUAAACCUCUGUAGUACGGGACGAAAAAAUGACGGUACCGUACAAGAAAGCUCCGGCUAACUACGUGCCAGCCGCCGC